AUGUGCACAGUUUCAGUUGUGAUUUGCACAUUCAUUUUUUUUUCCCAUCUGAAUGUAGUCCUGAAAGCACUACCAAACAUAUAUUUCAGUUCUCUGAUUCAACUGCUGGGGUGUAUAAACACCCAGAAUGCGAACAUGCUGGUGAGUCUGGAAAAAUUUCUAAGCCUUCAUUUCCCCGCUUUCCAAGACAGAAAUUGGUAAGAGAUAGUUUAAAGCAAUAUUAGGAAGACUGCAAUAUGGGGCUGUGCUUUGGCAGUAGGCCUGAUUUCAUGGACUAUACAUCAAGAAUGCCUCAUCCACAUACUGCAGAAUGCUGACACAGUAUGAGCUCACACUAGCACUUCAAAUCUGUUCCAAAAUUUUGAGAGGUUGCUAUUUCAACUGCUUGCCUUGCAGUCACAUCAAGUUGUUAUCUGUCCUGCUGCAAGCACAAACUCCAUGUGCUCUGGCCAAUCUAGUGAAAAUGUGAUCUUGGUCCCAUUCCUGAGCUAAAUUACAUUAGUGUUGCUGAAUCAAAUUUGUCACGCUGUAUAGUACCGUUGCAAGUGUUCCUCUCCCUUCUCCCAGAUAAACAAAAAAGUGCAAGGCUGGAGAUAUUUUUCCUUAGUACUUUUUCAAAAAUGGCUGAACUGUUUUGGCUGAACCGCUCACAUAAAUUCAGUUACAUGAAACAUAGAAAAGUUCACCAAUGUUACAUGUAUAGCUUGAAAUGUGACAGGUGAUUCUAACAGCUCCAUGUCUCACAUAACUCAGUCUGACAGAAUAUAUAUAUUUUACAGGUAUCCAUGAUUAGCAGGUAGGUGACAAGGCACUUGCUCUAAAAUUCGGUGUUGAGUAAAUUGUGUCAUAUAUGUAACCUUAAUUUCUACAAAUUAAGUGUGACUAUUUGGUGGAAGAAACUAAUCUGUUUCUCUAGGCUUUUAGACACUUUUUUGGUCUUCACUGAAGAAAUCAUAUACUUAAGAUGCAUACCAUACAAUAACUGGAGCACAGUGCUAUAGCCAGCCUCCUGGCAACCUCUGAGAAACAAGCUGUCCCUCUGCCUACUCAGUAGGGUAAUGCAGAAAAUGUUGCCAGAAUGCAGGUGCCUACCUCAAAUCAUUGCUAGAGGCACUUCAGCAGUAAGCCCUAUUUGUGCAGUAAAAAAAUGUGAGGAAAAUGUUGGUGAACUUUAAAGGCAAGAAGCACUGACUCCCCUAGGAAAAGCAGAAAGAUCAGGGAAGAUAAUCAGAAUCUCAGAGCUUCAGGAGGACAAACAGGUGUUGUCUCAGCUAUGUUGCCUCCCACUUUGCAUUGUAGUGUGAAGGAUACAUUUUCUUUGACAUUCAGGACUUCUGCUUCAGGAUUUUUUAUUUUUCUAUUAAUUGAAGGUUGAGUCUUAAUGCAUGAGCUAAAAAGCCAUCUGUAUGCUUUUUUCUUUUUUGCUUUCUCAUUUUUAAUGUUACUGUCCCAGUGUUACUGAUUCUCUGCAGUCCAUGGUUGUAUGAAAAGGCUGGACAAGAAAGUAAAGAACUGGUAAUCCCCUCUGGGGAAAGGAAGAGGCAGUCAGUCACCUCAAGGUCAUACAAAGUACAAUGGGCCUAUGCAGAGGUGCACGUUGAACUGAUUUGUUUCAUUAAUCAGAACUCAUACUGUGUUUGCAAAGAAUAAUUGACAUUAGCAGAGCUGUGUUACUUGCAAAUGCAAUAUUAACCUUUCUGUUUAAUUGUGCUGAGAUUUAAACUCAGAAAAUAAGCCUUUGCUUAUCCAGUAACAACAGUGCCUCUUUUGUUAACAGAGCAAACUUUUUGCAGUGUUAUACUGGAAAAGUUUUGAUUUUUAGCAGUGAAAUAACUACCAAGUUCUUGUAACUGUGAUCUGGUGGUGGAUAAUAUCAUACACUGAAAUGGAUCUACAUUGUGAGGACCUCGGUGUGCACACUAAGCAGGGGGAACUGGAAAGAAAACGUCAAAUAUUAUCACAAUAUUUUCCCAAGAAAAUGUGCAUUUGUGAGGAGAAUAGGGAAGAUAAAUUAGAAGAAAGAGUGUUCAGGAUAGGGAAUCUGUAGUUUUCCAUAGGAAAGGCAUUAAACCUCUUUGAAAAUGGAAAGCAGAGAGAAAACAACAACAGCAACAACAACAAAACAGUUGAAGGCUUAUGUAUUUAAAGGAAGUUAUGGAUGAUUAGAUUUUUCUCUGAGAUAAAUGCAGAAGUCUUUGGUUGUGAACUGGUAUUUGCAUGUUGUAUCUGCUACUUAUCCUGCAGGUUUCUUACUACCAUUGCAGUCCCCAUGUAUCUGUAUUCAUGAGUGUGCAGGCUCUUAGAUGAGCUUUGUGCUUUGUUUGCUCAUUGUUUAGUGUAAUGCACUUUGACCAGUGAAGCAUCCAUAAAUACUGCUGCAAACCGUAUGUCUAUAAUAUCCUAGACUACUUUUUCAUCUUCCUGAUGCUGAGUAUUACUUGUCCUCUGGGAAAAUCCCACUGAAAUCAAUGGAUCUACAAAGGUGUUGCUCAGUUCAGGUAAGAUGGCAAAAACAUCUCCAGAAUUUCAUUAUUAAUUAAAGGCAUCUUGUACAGGAGAAGCAUCCAGCUUAUGACCUGUGUGAUUAUUCUAGAAUACCAGGGUGAUUAAUACCUCCAGCCCUGAUAGCUUACUUUCCAUAAUCUGACUAAAUGAAAAAUCUGACUUCAGUGAAAGUGAACAGCUGCCUCCAACCUCCAUCACCCUUCCAGGAAUUUCUUCCUUCACUGCUUAAGGGAUGUUCAGCCAGCCAUGCUGGGGUGAAGUGAGCCUGGGAAAGGUUCAGGCUGGAAGGAGACAAUGUUCCCCAUGUAGAUCUUGAGCAGCUUCAAAGAUGAUGGCUAAAAGAAAGAGCAUGGAUUGUUUAUGGCAGUCUUUUCCCUUCUUCUUGGGCAUCUUCUAAGUAAGGAGCUGUCUACCCUGCCAUUUAUGAAUGCAUGUGCUUGACUGGACUUUCUGACUAAGGCUGAUGACCUGGUGGGCAUCAGGAAGAACAUAGCAUGCAGGUGCAAGGGUUUCAUCAUGGGACAAGGGGAGGGCUGUGCCAUUGCCUUUUCCAUAUUCUCAGUGGAAUUAAGGGGCCUGUCUAAUAUUAAGCAGCUUGGUACUACCAUCCUACAGAAAUAGUUAUUUUGACAUAGUUCUUAGCCUCAGGAAUAAGGUUGAUGAGAGAUUGUUCUACUAGGACAGUUGGUCUCAAAUGAUGAGAUAGCAGUGACCCUUCUGCAAAGCACUGUAAAAACAGACACAGUCACAUUCUGACACACGUGUCUAUCUUCUUAGUCAAAGAGUUCCACAACAAAGGAAGCAUUCCACCUCCCACCUGUUUUUUUCUUUUCAUUUCUUCUGUCUCUUUGCCUCUUUUCAGCUGCCCAUCUCGCUGUAAUCCUCCAAUUAUGAAUUUUCAUGAAUAAAUGCACUCUUUGCAAAAGGUUGGUUUGACUG
ensembl:lncRNA